AUGCAUUUAUUUUUAUCUGUUCCUCUGAUGUUCUUUAUUCAGUUGUGCAAUAAGCAUCCUCAAAUCUUGUUCACUCUGAGAGAACAUGUCAUCAUCAUCAGGCAGUACAUAUUCUUACUACCCACUAUCACUCUUAAUUCACUCAUAGCAGUUUCCUUCACACAUGCAUCCUUGUAUAUUUUAAACAGCCAUAGGGAAAUCGCACAUUCUUGUCUCACCCUUUUUCAAUUGUAUUCCACUCUAACAUGCCUUCAUUUGCUCACACACUUGUAGAACUGUUAGCAUACAUUGUUCUCACUGCUGCAAGCAGCUAUUCAUUUGCAUCAUAUUGUCU
rnacentral:lncRNA from 1 species